GGGGAAUAUUGCACAAUGGGCGCAAGCCUGAUGCAGCAACGCCGCGUGAGUGAAGAAGGCCUUCGGGUCGUAAAGCUCUGUCCUGUGGGACGAAACAAAUGACGGUACCACAGGAGGAAGCCCCGGCUAACUACGUGCCAGCAGCCGCGGUAAUACGUAGGGGGCAAGCGUUAUCCGGAAUCACUGGGCGUAAAGGGUGCGUAGGUGGCCUAUCAAGUCAGAAGUGAAAGGCAGUGGCUUAACCACUGUAAGCUUUUGAAACUGAUGGGCUUGAGUGCAGGAGAGGUAAGUGGAAUUCCUAGUGUAGCGGUGAAAUGCGUAGAUAUUAGGAGGAACACCAGUGGCGAAGGCGACUUACUGGACUGUAACUGACACUGAGGCACGAAAGCGUGGGGAGCGAACA
rnacentral:rRNA from 2 species